GAUGAACGCUGGCGGCGUGCCUAACACAUGCAAGUCGAGCGGCAGCGCGAGUAGUUUACUACUUGGCGGCGAGCGGCGGACGGCUGAGUAACGCGUGGGAACGUGCCCCAAAGUGAGGGAUAACUUCGAGAAAUCGGAGCUAAUACCGCAUAGUAUCUUCGGAUUAAAGAAUUUAUUCGCUUUGGGAGCGGCCCGCGUCGGAUUAGGUAGUUGGUGAGGUAAAGGCUCACCAAGCCGACGAUCCGUAGCUGGUCUGAGAGGAUGACCAGCCAGACUGGAACUGAGACACGGUCCAGACUCCUACGGGAGGCAGCAGUGAGGAAUCUUCCACAAUGGGCGAAAGCCUGAUGGAGCAACGCCGCGUGCAGGAUGAAGGCCUUCGGGUUGUAAACUGCUUUUAUAAGUGAAGAAUAUGACGGUAACUUAUGAAUAAGGAUCGGCUAACUACGUGCCAGCCGCCGCCGUAAGAC
rnacentral:rRNA from 1 species